GCAAGUCGAGCGGUAGAGAGAAGCUUGCUUCUCUUGAGAGCGGCGGACGGGUGAGUAAUGCCUAGGAGUCUGCCUGGUAGUGGGGGAUAACGUCCGGAAACGGACGCUAAUACCGCAUACGUCCUACGGGAGAAAGCAGGGGACCUUCGGGCCUUGCGCUAUCACAUGAGCCUAGGUCGGAUUAUCUAAUUGGUGAGGUAAUGGCUCACCAAGGCGACGAUCCGUAACUGGUCUGAGAGGAUGAUCAGUCACACUGGAACUGAGACACGGUCCAGACUCCUACAGGAGGCAGCAAUGGGGAAUAUUGGACAAUGGGCGAAAGCCUGAUCCACCCAUGCCGCGUGUGUGAAGAAGGUCUUCGGAUUGUAAAGCACUUUAAGUUGGGAGGAAGGGCAGUUGCCUAAUACGUAACUGUUUUGACGUUACCGACAGAAUAAGCACCGGCUAACUCUGUGCCACCAGCCGCGGUAAUACAGAAGGUGCAAGCGUUAAUCGGAAUUACUGGGCGUAAAGCGCGCGUACGUGGUUUGUUAAGUUGGAUGUGAAAUCCCCGGGCUCAACCUGGGAACUGCAUUCAAAACUGACUGACUAUAGUAUGGUAGAGGGUGGUGGAAUUUCCUGUGUAGCGGUGAAAUGCGUAGAUAUAUGAAGGAACACCAGUGGCGAAGGCGACCACCUGGACUGAUACUGACACUGAAGUGCGAAGGCGUGGGGAGCAAACAGGAUUAGAUACCCUGGUACUCCACGCCCUAAACGAUGUCAACUAUCCGUUGGAAGCCUUGAGCUUUUAGUGGCGCAUCUAACGCAUUAAGUUGACCGCCUGGCGAGUACGGCCGCAAGGU
rnacentral:rRNA from 1 species